rnacentral:misc_RNA from 1 species
UUUCCGUAGGUGAACCUGCGGAAGGAUCAUUAAAGUUAUAGUCCCCCGGCCCCUCCGGGCUGGGGUCUUCUAUACCACCCUUUGUUUAUUACACCUUUGUUGCUUUGGCAGGCCUGCCCUCGGGCUGCUGGCUCCGGCCGGCUCGUGCCUGCCAGAGGACCUAAACUCUGUUUGUAUAUGAAGUCUGAGUACUAUAUAAUAGUUAAAACUUUCAACAACGGAUCUCUUGGUUCUGACAUCGAUGAAGAACGCAGC